AUUGUUUACAUUAUAUUUAACUAUACUGAAAUUUUAGUUUUUUUACUGCGAUUAACUGGACAUAGGCAAGUUGUUUAUUUACUUUUUGACUAUGUUAGGACUUGAGCCAUUUUCGUUUCUCAUGAAACCAAUAAAAUGUAUUAAACAAUACAUUUUACUUUACACUAUAAUUUAUAUUACUAAUGAAAACCAAUAGCCCGAUUUAUUAAUAAUAUAUAUCAUUAUUUAAUACUUUUACAAGUGUAAUAAUAAGUUUUACGUUUUAUAAGUGGGUCAAACUAUCGUAAAAAGCAUGGUUUAUUUAAAGACAAUUUUAAAUCCAUUCAAUGUUGAAAGAUCUCCUUUUGAAUUGCUAUAGGUGCAUCGUAAAUUUGAGGGAUGGCGUAAUAUGAUGAAACAGUUUGAUUUUUAUUCAGCCGCCAUGGUAAAUGUUUCCAUUCUUGUUAGUGACGAAUUUCAAACACACUGACACUUGAGCUUCGCCAAUCUUUCCACGACGUCGCAGACUUCUGUCCUCCGCCUAAUAUCUACGUUUGGGAUCCCGUCUCGCAGAUUUACUCCCAGCAUUGCUCGUUCCAUCACUCUUUGGCAUAUUCGGAGACGGUUUGCGCUGUUUGCUGCAAGGGUGGCAGUUUCGAGUCCGUAUGUUGGCACAGUCAGGAUACAGUUAUCCUAGACCUUCUUCUUUAGCUUUAUUGGGAUUUUUAGUUAUCGAAGUAUUUAUCUAAGCGUCUAGAAUGCUGCCCAGCGGAGGCCGAUUCGUCUGGUAAUCUCCGCAGUUUGAUUACUUUUUCGGAUUUUGAUUUUAUGUCCAAGAUAUAUGUAUUCUUCGACUAGCUCCAAAGUAUGGUUCUCGAUGGUGACUCGGAUGUUGGACGUGCUCAUGAUUUUCGAUUUUUAGAUGUGCAUCGUUGUAAGUUCGGCCGGAUAGCUGCUAAAGAGGACAAUAUCGUUUGAGAAGCUGAGAUGGUUAAGAUAUUUCCCAACAAUCUUGAUGCCUUUCUGAUUCCAUGAUAGGCCCUUUAUGCGUGCUCCAUUGCAAGGGUGAAUAACUUGGGUGAUUUUAUAUCCCCCUGCCUGACACCUCGCUGUACUUGGACGUUUGCAGUAACCCACUCUUCGUCAAUUUUUACGUGCAUGGUAGCAUGUUUGUAGCUCUAUGGGUGGGUAAGAGGCGAAGGCGAAUAACAACUAUCAAAGCCAGACCAAAUAUCAACCUCACCUGCACGUGGUGCCCACUGCUAGAAACGAACGAGGCUCUGACUACCGAGAUACGGCGGAAUAACCGUUCCACCUGAAGUUAAGGAAAUAUAAUUCCCAAACUUACCAACAAGCCUGGCAAGCGUGGUGUUUUAAUGCCAACACCUUUCAUAGCCAUCUAUGAAUGUCGUCGAAAAAGAUAUGUCGAAAUUUAAAACAUGUAUACCCCAGGCGAGUAGAGGCAAAAACCCGGAAUCUGCUGGGACAUUUAUCAUUUUCUUCUUAAGCUUCCUUUCAAUACUUGAAUGCAUUGAGUCGCAUUCUAUCUGCGUGUGUCCCUUUUCAAGAUGCUUCUGCUCAAUUGUUAUUUUGCUUAUUUUACUCUCUUUGAAUAAAUUUAAAACGGCAUUUAUUUGAGAGAAAAGCAUUCCUGUUCUGGCAGGUACAACCAUCGCUAUAAAAGGUAAUCUUGCUUACGGCUUCAUUUUACUCCAUUACAUGGUUUCUCACGAAACCAUACAAUAUUAAAGUGAAGAUGUUGGCUGUCAGUCCUCCUUGUCAUUCGUGCCAAAUGUAGACUUCGGACAUAAUAAUAUUGAUUGCAAAUCCAUCGUGUAUACAUCACAAAUUUCUGCUCCUUUGUCUUUCGGUUUUUCAAUUAGUGUUUCUUUUUCACUUGAUGUUCUUGAUAUAUUUCUAUGCUGAUGUUUUCGGUUUUAUAAGCUACAGAUUUGUCGCAUUGGUUUUUCUUCGGUGAAAAUAACUCAACAUCUUGAUCUUCAAUCGUGUUUGAGAAAGAUGCAACAUAUAAUGAUAAUAAGUUUUUCUCGGCACACCAAUCGUUAGUAUAAAGCCUGUAAAGUUUUAAUUUAGAAGUCCAAACUUGUUCUAUUCAAGGCUUGCUAUUAGACAUUCUACAGUAAUGUGAGUCCAGCUUGGGUAAGCUAUUUAAAAAUAAUGUUAAACCCUUGUUUUUUCUGUUUCUUUGCACCUGCCUAUGGUUACUUCCUUUUUGAAUUGGAAUAUCCUGAGUGCAAUGAAUGUUUUUUUUUUCAAGAAGCCAAUAGCCAACUAUUAUUUUUGGUAUGUUAAUAGUAUUGCAGAACAUUGUUUUGCAUUCUUUUAAUCUGAGAGUUUGUUUGUUAAGAAAGUAUGAUUAUGAAUACACCCGUCUUGAAUGGUCCUCUUGUUUUCGAUUGUAGCUCUUCUAGUCGAACAUUUGUUAAUCCGUGCAGUGACAUAAAUUUGCUUCUCAGACCAGACAGCAUCCAGAAAUGAUCACAGAGUAUAGUUCUGUCAUUCUCUGUUAAUUCCUUGCAUCUUAAAGGAGCUUUUUCGAGUUAGAGUUGUAAAACAACAAACAUUCAUCAAACUUUGAAGCUAAUUAUAUAAUGUAACUUUUAAAACAUUGCUAAAAUAUUGAGUACAAUAUUUCACAAACGUUUUUUGCUUACUUUUUUAAUUUAAAAGGCCACUAAAAUUGCCACUAAAAAAACCACGUUUUGCUGGCAUGCAACGGUUACGGUUUAAUUACAAAUGUAGGACUUGGGCAAAAUGCGUAUUUAUUUUUAAGUACUGCGGACUUUGGCUAAAUUCGUUUAAUCGGAUUAUGGCACGUAAACGUCAGAUUAGGAAUUUAGACCACUGUUCGAUCAUGGGUUUGUGCGAUUUUAAGCAGAUGAUGCAGAAUCAGUUUUGUUUUGAUCAAAAAUGGACUUAGGCAACUUGCAUCUUAGAACGACGAUACGGAAUUCCGAAAAAUGAUGUCUCUACCAGCAAUCAGUGAUCCUUUAAUGGUCUUCAAUUGACUAUUCAGUUGAAAACUACCUAUGAGAAUGCCAACUAUGGAAUACCUAUUGAACAGCAACCAGGUUAUGAGAAAUGUCGUCUUGCCAACAAACGAAGGAAUAAAUAUUGAGUUUAACAAACUGA
rnacentral:lncRNA from 1 species